UACGUAGGGCGCAAGCGUUUGUCCGGAAUUAUUGGGCGUAAAGAGCUCGUAGGCGGCCUGUUGCGUCCGCUGUGAAAUCCCGGGGCUUAACCCCGGGCUUGCAGUGGAUACGGGGCAGGCUGGAGGCAGGCAGGGGAGAACGGAAUUCCCGGUGUAGCGGUGAAAUGCGCAGAUAUCAGGAGGAACACCUGUGGCGAAAGCGGCUCACUGGACCGCAACUGACGCUGAGGCGCGAAAGCUAGGGGGAGCAAACAGG
rnacentral:rRNA from 1 species